AGAGUUUGAUCCUGGCUCAGAAUGAACGCUGGCGGCGUGCCUAACACAUGCAAGUCGUACGAGAAAUCCCGAGCUUGCUUGGGAGAGUAAAGUGGCGCACGGGUGAGUAACGCGUGGGUAACCCACCUUCGAAUCUGGGAUAACUCCGCGAAAGCGGUGCUAAUACCGGAUAAGACCACAGCCGUUUCGGCGGCAGAGGUAAAAGCUGACCUCUCCAUGGAAGUUAGUGUUCGAGGACGGGCCCGCGUCCUAUCAGCUUGUUGGUGGGGUAAAGGCCUACCAAGGCAGCGACGGGUAGCUGGUCUGAGAGGAUGAUCAGCCACACUGGAACUGGAACACGGUCCAGACUCCUACGGGAGGCAGCAGUGAGGAAUUUUGCGCAAUGGGGGAAACCCUGACGCAGCAACGCCGCGUGGGUGAAGAAGGCUUUCGGGUCGUAAAGCCCUGUCAGGUGGGAAGAACCGUUUCGAUACUAAUAAUGUCGAAGCCUGACGUACCACCAGAGAAGCACCGCCAACU
rnacentral:rRNA from 1 species